GUUGUUAUUCAAUGCUCUCUUCACACUCGAGCGCGGUUUUAUAACAAACGUUUUAAUAUGGGGCAUUUCAGUGGUCAUCAUUUCUACAUACAUGUAAUGUUUUUAAAAUACGCAUUAGAUUUGUCCUUUCUUGUAAACGUUGAUAUGCUUUGCACCGAUUUACUUGUUACUACGCGUCUUGUUUGCAAGAUUUUUAGAGGAAACAAUAUUGUAUU